rnacentral:lncRNA from 1 species
GAAGAGUUCUCACCGGUUGUGGCCACUAACUGGGCCUUCUCUUUAUUUCUCAAUAUUUACUUCUUUAGCAAAAUAUUCUUCUUUCUUUUACAGAAAUAUUCUUCCUAUGUGGAGUCGGAGUUCUGUCAACUAUUACUGCUGUUCUUGCCUUAACCCAGGCCAGCCACCCAGCCUGACCACCUGCUUGUCAUUUCCUUAGGCCCACUGCUCCAAGGAAAUCCUUCCUUUCUCCACUGUGUGGAAUUAGAGCAUGAGUAUUUGAUAAAUAAGGCAUAAGGAAAACAUUUAAAAGGCAGCAAAAAAUAACAGAGCUUUAUUUUUUCUGCUGUUUUUUUACUUUCCAGAUCCCCCCAGUAUAUAGUUGUAUAUUUUAGUUGUGGGUCCUUCUAGUUGUGGCAUGUGGGACACCGCCUCACUGUGGCCUGAUGAGCGGUGCCAUGUCCACGCCCAGGAUCUGAACCAGUGAAACCCUGGGCCGCCAAAGCGGAGCACAAGAACUUAACCACUCAGCCAAGGGGCUAGCCCCUAACAGAGCUUUUGUUAACUGAAUUAAUGUCACAAAUUUUAGGUAAACUUGUUUUUUUAGGGGUUAUUCCAGGUGCAGAUCAGAAACAGAAUUUUGGCAAAUAUUUAUUGAUCUCCAACUUUAUGCCAAAAACUCAGCUGAGUGCUAAGGACACAGCCAUAAACAAGACAAAUGUGGGUCUCUGCCCUCACAGAGCUCAGAAUGCAGAGGACAAGCAGGAAAGACAAAUGCCAAAGAAAUAUUUAUAAUAAAAUGUAAAGGCAAGGGUGAGGUGGAACCUUUGGAAGGAUACAGCCAGAAGGCAGCUGUGUGCAAGCCAGGAAGAGAACCCUCAUCAAGCCAAACCUGCCAGCAUCUUGAUCUUGGACUCCCAGCCUCCAGAACUGUGAAAAAUAAAUGUCUGCUGUUUAAGCCACCUCGUCUGUGGUAUUUUUGGUAUAGCAGCCCAGGCUGACUAAAACAACUCCCUUCCACAGUGUAAAGUAGUGCUACUCAAAGUGUGGGCCAUGGACUAAUGCCCGUCUGCAAACUGUUUGUUAGUGGUCCAUAACGAGACUAAGCACAGAAAUUGAGAGUUUAAGUAUUCAGAAAUUUACAGAAUUUUGGUCAAGUAAUUUUAUG